rnacentral:rRNA from 1 species
CCUACGGGAGGCUGCAGUCGAGAAUCAUUCACAAUGGGGGAAACCCUGAUGGUGCGACGCCGCGUGGGGGAAUGAAGGUCUUCGGAUUGUAAACCCCUGUCAUGUGGGAGCAAAUUAAAAAGAUAGUACCACAAGAGGAAGAGACGGCUAACUCUGUGCCAGAAGCCGCGGUAAUACAGAGGUCUCAAGCGUUGUUCGGAAUCACUGGGCGUAACGCGUGCGUAGGCUGUUUCGUAAGUCGUGUGUGAAAGGCGCGGGCUCAACCGGCGGACGGCACAUGAUACUGCGAGACUAGAGUAAUGGAGGGGGAACCGGAAUUCUCGGUGUAGCAGUGAAAUGCGUAGAUAUCGAGAGGAACACUCGUGGCGAAGGCGGGUUCCUGGACAUUAACUGACGCUGAGGCACGAAGGCCAGGGGAGCGAAAGGGAUUAGAUACCCCUGUAGUC